AUUGAACGCUGGCGGCAGGCCUAACACAUGCAAGUCGAGCGGAUGAAGGGAGCUUGCUCCUGGAUUCAGCGGCGGACGGGUGAGUAAUGCCUAGGAAUCUGCCUGGUAGUGGGGGAUAACGUCCGGAAACGGGCGCUAAUACCGCAUACGUCCUGAGGGAGAAAGUGGGGGAUCUUCGGACCUCACGCUAUCAGAUGAGCCUAGGUCGGAUUAGCUAGUUGGUGAGGUAAAGGCCUACCAAGGCGACGAUCCGUAACUGGUCUGAGAGGAUGAUCAGUCACACUGGAACUGAGACACGGUCCAGACUCCUACGGGAGGCAGCAGUGGGGAAUAUUGGACAAUGGGCGAAAGCCUGAUCCAGCCAUGCCGCGUGUGUGAAGAAGGUCUUCGGAUUGUAAAGCACUGUAAGUUGGGAGGAAGGGCAGUAAGUUAAUACCUUGCUGUUUUGACGUUACCAACAGAAUAAGCACCGGCUAACUUCGUG
rnacentral:rRNA from 1 species